rnacentral:lncRNA from 1 species
GUCUGGAGCAAGUCAAACAUAUAAAGUGCUUUUCUGAAGAGCAGUUUGAAGUUUAGAAAGGUUUGCAACUAAAAAAACCCUCCAACUCAUUAAAAGAAAAAUACAACAGAACAGAAGAGCAAAGUGCAAAAACAACCGAAACAGAGCAAUCCAAAAUAAAGUUAAAAUAAAUAAGGUAAAAUAAAGCAAAACUAAACCAAGAGAGAUUUUUAUAGUA